AAAGAAAAAGAACCAUGCUUAUUCUCAAAUUGUUGUCAUUUUAGUGCAACUCAAUAAAUUGAGUUUGGUUUUAAGAAAUGUAUUGGCACUCAACAUGUAUUUGUGAAACGGUUAAGCGCAUUUUAAUACAAAACAGAAAAGUGAAGCUGCAGCCGAGUCUGUGAGACAGCAGCAGCAGUCGUUCAUCUCAACGUGGCACCGGGGUAGAGAGGGUGAGCUGGGAACCGCAAGGUUGGCGGUUCGAGCCCGGCUGCUCCAUGUCCCAUGUCGAAGUGUCCCUGAGCAAGACACUUAACCCUUAAUUGCUCCCCGGGCAAAAAGCCAUGGGUUAAAAAUGCAAUGUAAGUCGUUUUGGAUAAAAGCAUCAGCUAAAUAACCUGUAAUGUGAUUCAAACAUGAAACAUUUCAUUUAAAAAACAUUCCUUAGCACAGUAAUUAAAGUUAGUUUAUUUUGUCUCUGGGACAUUUUAAAGCGUACAUUACCUUAUUUUCCUCAAAAAGGUUUGAGACUCCGGGCCAAACCUUGGUUUUGGUUUAGGGUGUUAAACGGUCCACAUUGCGUGAAUAAAAAACACCUCCAAACGCUUCUCACACACAAAUCCAGCACACAUAAUUAAACAACAUCUCAUACACAAUUACUACUGCUUUUAGUGAAUGAUGGAUCAUCCACAGUUCCAGUGUAUGCAUUCCUGCCUGCGGGGCAUCAACUUUGACCUCGGACAGAUUUACAAUUCAGAAUCUUCUUAAACUAAAAUAAGGGAGUGUUGGGAGGGUUUGGACACACUUUCUCAAUGACCUGAAUGAGAAAAUGUGUUCAAACUUUUGGCACUGGUACUGUAGUUGCUUUCAAUCCAAUUCUACCAUUUUAAUACAUUAGGAAUAAAAACAGUAAGAUAUAAUUUGGGAUGAAGUGAUGACGAUAAUUGGGAAUGUUAGAUUUGAUGUCUUUAAGGUGGAAAUAUGUUAGCACCAAAAAAUGUCAUCAUUAUGCAUCAAUACAACUUGAAAAUAAUGACUCAUGAUGAAAGCGGUUUUAGUAUUUCUACACAUACUCUGAAUCGUUUUCACUUUUAUUUCUUUCCCUAAUUGACUGAUUUAUAUUUUGAAUUUGAAAACAAACAUCUGCUAAGUAGGUCAACCCACAGCAUGUAAAACUGCAGAAUUACACAAAACGCCUUCAGUGAGGUCCGGCAAAAGGGUGAAAACCAACCCACGGAUCAUAAAACGUGAUGAGAACAAAACGAUGAAAGCCUCUUAUGAAGAUCUAAUGGUUGAGGGGAAAACACCAGGACAUUCUGAAAAUAGUGAAUAGUAAUGCAUUUCCCCAAUUGAGGAAACUAGAAAUGUAAAGAUGAACAAUAACUGUAUCACAGUACUACUCAUCAGUAUCCCACACUGACUUCAAAGUGUGCGUGCACGCAAUUUGUAUUGUGAUUUCUUUUGUUCUUUAAGGUUAGGCUUGUGGUGUUAUAGUAUGAUAUACAUGUAAAAUAAUCCAUUUUAAAUUGGGGUUUUACGGUUGAACAAUUGGGUGAUUUCUAAAUUUAAAUAUUGAAGAAAUAUUGCUUUUCACGCUUUUAGUUAAAGCGUGAAAUCCUAGUAUGACGUCUAUGUGCCAGAUGUAUCUAAAAGACAUACAAGUGUAUGUGUCUUUUUUUCAUAUUUACUGUUAUGAGUUUACAUUUACUCAACAUAUUUCUUUUGGUAAACCUUGCUGUUUUUUCUUCAUCAUGAAUAAUCUUGAAUUGAUUUUAAGCGAAGAAGAGAAGCACGUUCUAACAGGUUUGCGUGGCCUCUAUAGUAGACCAGUGGAAAUAUGUCCUCUGCUUUUUUUCUCUGCAGAGAGUUGACGAGGCCAGGCGGAAGUCUAUAGUGGUUUGCAACGGUGUACGCAGCCACCAUACGCAACAUGCACAAUUUUCCAGAUUUCUUCCCCGCCCUGCUAACCUAUUUUAUUCUAUCACUAAGGUGUGCUUGUGGUAGCAAAACAGACAAACGGCACAUCUAUUUUUGACUAAUAGGACAACAAUUGUCCCAUUUAUUUGUGGUAGCAGAGAUUUCCGUGAAAGCUAGCAUUUCUCACCUACGCUUUAGUUGCAGAACACCAUGCGGACACUUGAGAGUGACGCGUGGUUGUCAUUUUACAUCCUUCUAAUUAUCUUGGCCUCAAAAGGCAUGCCUUGAAAUAUGUUCUGAAGAAGCUUUUUUGCGUUGUUAAUCUUGCAAGAUAGAAGCAAUUUGAGGCCCUAUUAAGUCAUCUUUACUACGUAGACCGCAUGUGCUGUUAGUUUAUUACCGUGCAUCAACAUUGGAACUGGGCUGAUCCCGGAGCACUUCAGACCCUUCCCCUGUAAUUACCUCUCACGUUGUUCUGGAAGAGUUGAGGUGAGCUUCCUCCUGCUCCUCCUGCACACUUUGGGGCAUUAUCAUAAAUACGCCGCAUUAACACUUGUUCCCGGCUUGUCAGGAUAUAAAUUAAAUCUGCAGGUGUCCCACCGAGGUUUACCCCUGAUACUAAUUAAGGCAUGAUAAUUAGGUUUGUUAAAUUUGGUACUUUCAGCUCCGAUACCCCCCUUGGAAUACAACAAUCGCAGAUUGCAGACAAGAAAAGGGCUUAGAGGAUCCUCCCCUAACGCAUGAGAACAGACCAAUGGGUGCCUGAUCAAGUCGCCCCCCCCCCCCUGUGCUGGAGGGAAUAUGCCGGCUUGUAAUUAUGAUUUUGUGCGUGACAAUUCUCAUUCAUCUGACUUGAAUGUGGUCUCUGUUUGAGAAGGGACCAGACAACAUUUUGAUGAGGUUCUUCCUCUUCAUCUAGAGAGAGAUAUAACUAUUCAUUUACACCAGAGAAAUACCCCGCCCCCCCUUCUCCUCGCCUCUCCUCUCUCCAUGACCUUGGAGGCUGGCAUGCCUUAUCAAGCAAGAGACAAGAACAAAGAACUAGAGGAAUAACAGAAGGUUAUGGCAUCUCUUUAAAGCGUUUCAGAGGCUUAAGCACAAGUUCUGCCUCUUAUAAGAGUGAAAACAAAGUCAGAAGCCCGUGAUACUGAGCUCAUUAGGUGAACCCGAGACGUAUGCCGAAGACUGUAGACUUUACAAAGAGGUCAAUAAAGGACAACGUUCUGAAUAUCAUUAAUCACUUCUUUGCCUUUUAUAAAGCUAUGAUGUACCUCUAAAGCUCUAUUGGAGAGUGUUCUCAUUUUGAUGUAAUAAAAUAAGUGCUACUCACACUUACUGUUUUACAUCCAAGAAAAAAAUAGACCUGAAAUAUUAUAUUUUCUGAGUAAAAUAGAUGAUGUUUCUCAUUCAUGAAAUGAACACAGUGUGACACCCGGCACUGAUUAAUGACCUGAAGGUUGCUGUGAUGUGUCACCGCUCCUUCCCUCCCCUCUCCCCUGAUACGUAGAGUGUCCCCUCAGCGCCAUCACUCAAUAGCAGACUGCAGCAGACUAAAAGGAAGUACGGGUGAGAUGAGGAGACGCAAGGGAACGAAUAAAAAAGGGAGAGAGUGAGAAAAAGGAGGAGAUGGAGGGAACGCGGCGACGGCCCUACUGCUGAAGAGUCAGUAGGGCUCAGCUGGAGAAGCAGUUCAUCAACCUUUCCCUCGUGACUGCGACCUGUGGACCCUUCCAUAGAAGGGAAGACAGAAUCAUUACAAACAGCCAACAGAGGUGGAUUUAGUGAGAUAGACUGAUAGGCAGUAAGAUUUAAAAAAAUAAAGAAUAAAUGCAGGGAAUGGGAAUGAUCCCUCCCUCCUGUGUAGUCCAGAUGUCGGAGUGCGUGCAGGCCUCCCAGUACGGGCCUUUGGGACGAGCUGAGCCUGGUGAAGCCCACUGACUGCACGGGAAUAACAGCUGUGCACAGGUCCUCUGUUCUGCCCCUCACUGCUCAGAUGUGGGACAAACAAAUACCGCUCUUUGUUUACACAUGGUCGUUGUAUACGUAUUGUGCCUGUUUACUUGCUUUUUGUGUACGUGUUGUUUUUUUGGAUGGUCUCCCAUGACAGACAUUGUUCUGCAUGGUCAUCAUUUUUUGAAGUUGUAGCGUCUGGCAGCUGAUGGCUCUCCCAAGGUGUUGUGGGUGCACGGCGCCGUGGGCGUUUUUUGAAGAGCGUUACAUUUUAGGCCUCUUAUUGAGGAAGACUGCACCUGAUGUCGAGGCCUGUUAUUCUGAGAUCAGAAAUCUUUUUUUAUUAAAGAUCCAUCACCAUGUAUCAGCACCAAUUUUCUUCUUUAAAUUGCAGGAGGCGGUACAGGCACUCAUGUAAAGCGGUAUAUGGUUCAAAAAAGUAAUCUGACUGUCAGUUUGUUGUUAUUACUUUGUCAUAUUUAUAGUCAAAAAUUCAAACCAGGAGUCACGGCUAUUCUCAGUUUGGAACUCAAUCUGUUCUCAUAAGUCCAAAAACAAUUGAAUUUGAUGUCUGUAAGAGACGACUGCUGUCUGUGAGAUCCAUAGCUGGAUUUUCAGCCAUUGAUGGACUCUUGGUGACAGCAACCCAAAGAGCUAUCCAUUAUGGAUGAAGGAGCAAGAAAGAAGACUGAAUUGAGUGAAACUGAAGAAGACCAGGCAGAGUGCCUCACAUCCCUGCACACUUGACCGAGACCAGAGAGACAUGAUUGCUUUAGUAAUGUUCUACAAAAAACAUCGACUGUCUAGACUUUCCCCUUUUUAAAUGGAUGGCGAUGGGUUCGGACGGUACUGGUUCUAAUUCUGCCGCUGAUUUAUUUCAUGUUAAAUUGAUAACCAUGUUCAAUAAGUAUUGACACCAAAAUACUGUCUUUUUUUCCAUUGGAUGGUUUAAAGAUGAAAGGGAGGAAAGAAACAUGAAAGGGGGGGUAACAUAAAAGAAAACAUUGUUUGAACUUGAACGGAUGUCCAAGUUCUAAUAUUCAUGCACCACAACAGAGGACAAAUCCUCAAAAUAGGGGUUUUGUUUUGUUUGAUUUCUGUUAUUUUCAUUCAGUGACUAGCUCUUUUACGCGACUUGUAAGUGUAUAUGUCUGCACGGAUAUCGGUGUGACGGUACUGUUCUGUAUCACAGAAUACUGUAGCACACUUCACACGCAGCCCGAAAACUUACUGUAUAUGCCGGCACAUAAUCGGAAGCUGUAAGAGAGACGGAGAGCCCACGGCGUGCAUUGUUGCAGCUUAAUACCCCCACCAGCCAUAUUAUCAGUGUGUGUGCAGGAACCCAGCGGCUCCUGGCUUUCUCCUCUUCAAAUGGCGAUAACCUGUCCCAACCCCCUCCUGUGAUAACUACAAGGUCCAAGGAGGUCUGCCAGCACUGCAUCCCCGAAAAGAGGAGGGGCGGGGGGGGGACUGGGCCACAGCAUCCUGAAGACUGUCUUUAUGGAGGGGAAACACAGGCAAGCAAACAAAGGGGUCUGCAGCCAGGAAGCCUUAAUCACUGCCACAGCCAUUAGAGUAAUGAGGCCUGAUGGACGCACAGUCUAGUGAGAGACGAGGGAAGGGGGAGCUUUCCUCACAGAUGAGGGCUGAUAACCUCACCCCUCCUCCCCCCUCUCAUUCUUCUGCCACUGCCACUGUUGUCUCAGGGGCGUAUUAAUGAAACCGUGCCUCUCUCUCUUCAUUUCAAGGGUUUCCUUUUUUCUUCUCUGGGAUUAGCCGGGCAUUGUUUGAAGGAGCGCUGUGUUGUUCUAAACAAAACCCUCAUGAGGGAGAUGCAUGUGAGAGAAAAGGCAGCACCUGUAACUUACAUCAGUAAAAUCCGGAAGAUCAGAUUGUAGGCAAUGAAGAUGGCACUAUUUAAGAAAACGAAAAAAAAAGAAACCCAUCGCCUUUUUAUAGAAUUGAAUUAGCUGGAAUGCCAUCCCAUAACUGUCAAAGGUGUACAGAUAUGUUAAGAAGAGAUUGAUUUUAGCAGCAAGCUUGAGAAAUGAUGCUCAGCUGUGGUUACAUGUGACCACAGUGCUGUGUGAGCGGCGUUGUGACCAUCACUAUCCAGGGAUUGACUGUUGUGUACUCUCCUGUUUAUGGAUCUCAUAGCUCUUUACAACACACUUCAAAAAUUAAUCACCCCGGAGUCCCAUAUAAGUCUCUAGUAUGCAUCUGCUGAACUGCUCUGGUCAAGCUUCUUCACACUGGAAGCAAACAGCAGCAAAGAAAGAGCCCUUCCAUAGCUAAAAAGGAAGACAUAUAUGUAUAGAUGGGGCUGUUGCUUUAUGAAGAUUGCAGUUAAAUCACCCAGGAGAAGAACUGGUAACUGUGUGCGUCUAGUGUAACACCACCAAGCACAUUUGACACUGAUGGCUUGUCACUACACUGUUUUGUAAGCUGCGUGCUGCCCCCCCCCCACCUCCCCCAUCCUCCCCCCACCGUCUGCCUGUGUAGGCUAAUAUUUCCAGCAGGUUUCAGUUUUAAAGCUCUCUAGUGGGCCUUUAAACGGUCUCUUAGACGACGGUGAAGGCCUCCCUCCGAUUUUUUCCGUCUCUCUCUCUCCUGCCGUCCACUGUCCUUUUCAAUGGCUGAUUUAUGGCCCACAUAAGUGUGCAAGAGACGCCGAGAUUUCAGAGGAAGUCGUAAAUAGAGCAAAACCAUGGAAGAGAGGAGGGAAGAGGAAACAGACUGAAGAGGUGACACGGACAUGCAGUGAAAGAGAGGGAGAGAGAGAGAGAUGUGGACGGAUAACUCGACCGAUUAUAACAGUCAGUUCCACUGAUGAGAAAAGGCUUUCUAUGCUGCUGCAUUAAUACACUUCCUGUCUGUCCAGCUGCUUUUUUAUUUUGUUCCUGUCAGCUGACUUUUGGACUGCUGGUGUGUGGGCUUCUCUGUGGUUUGCAGAUGCUCUGGCAUACUAGUAGCAUACUAGUCAACCGUCAGUCUGACGAUUUGACCAAGAGGUUUACUGUUGGUUGCAUUAGGUGGGGUUGGUUCCCUGCACACAACAUGGGUGCAUUCAAUGUUUAGUUCAUGACAAGCAUUUAUGUGGUGCCUCUCCAGUCGUCCAACCACUCAAAGUGCUUUACACUGCACGUUAACCAAUUCCCAUUCAGACCCAUUCAUACACUCAUGGCCCAGUCUAUAUCACAAGAUGCCAACCUGGAAUCAGGAUCUCAUCUAAUGCUCAUUUGCACACUGAUGGCACAAGCAAUUUGUGCUUUGUUGAUGAUGAUACUUUGAAUAUGGACGGUGGAGGGAAUGAACUGCCAAUGAAAUGUAUACUUGAGAACCGGUUCUACCUGUAUCUACCCUACUGUUGUCUCUUGUCAUAAAUUGAUAUAUUGGUACAAUAUACCAAUAAUACAUACAGUGGUACAAAUAAGUCUCUUACAAAGCAAGUUAAUGUGGUUUCAGAUGUUUAGGAAGGAAAACGGUUCACCUUGAACAAACCCUUCAAAAUGUGCUGAGGCCAGUAAUGAUAUCUUGUCUGUGGGCUUCUUAUGGAGGCACCUGGCUCCUUAACAUCACACUGAAAAAUGAUUUCACCAUCAAAUAGCCUCUUUGGCAUAAUAGUGAUGAGGAGGCUGUUUCCCCUAAGUGUUCAAUUGAGACAAAAACAGCCAACCUGUGAUCUGUCCCAUUCAGCCUCUAAUCCACUGGGAUAUUUUAAAGGAAUAGCUCAUAAUCUCUCACACACAACACACACACAAACUCAGUUCAACUUUAUUUCUUCUAGGAUUUUCAGUGCAGUAAAAUGUUCACUACAUUGUUCAACUGUCUCAUUUAUGCGUUUGCACCAUAUACGACUCAAGACAGAAAGAGACUUCUGGCACAAGAGCAACAUGCAAAUGAAACGUGGGAGCCAGUAGGUCACGAUGACCUUUUGAUGACCUGUUUUUGGAAAACAAAGCUCUCUUCUACACAGGAGGACACUUCUCUUUCCAAAAGAAAAAUCCCAUUGCUUUGUACCCGUUAGCCGUGUAGCUUGGUCAACAAUGGAGCAGAAUCUGCUGCUUGUUACCGUGUAGAGAUUCCGGGCUGUAUUAUACAGUGAAUUGCCUGUUGAAGACGUGUAUUGAUUUGUAUGUGCAUUGUAUGCAUCUCUCUGUAAUGCCUUGAUUUAUUGUUUUACACUCCAAUGAGACAAACACCUUGCGAAUAACUUUUUAAAAGCAAAAUAUGAGCCACAUGACCAAAGCUAUUGUCACAGUGAUCAUUGUGAGAUUAAGCAACAUUAAUGGAAAGGACAAUUCUUAUUUUACAGUAUGAAACUGGUUAAAUGUAUAUCAUUUAUAUUGAUUGGUAUAGGGAAAAGAGGAAAUGUUUCUGGAGGUUGUUCUGUGAGAUACUCGUCCUUUGUUGUCUGUGUGUUACUGUUUUGGUGUGGAGUUUGUGGUGCACAGACGGGCCAUACAUCACCUCCUCUUUACAGUGUUUCCCUGUGAGUCAUUUGCAUGUCAUUACAGCUUUGUUUUAUAAGUGAGUGGCUAUUAAGGAAGCUGCUCCAUAAAACGCUUGUUAAAAUGGAGGAAGGCAGCAAUACGGAUCUUAAAAAGCCAAGAGCAUUUACCAUUUUCUCACCUUAUGUAGCUGAUGAAAAGUGUCUGCGUGCGUGUGUGAGAGAGGGAAAGAGAGAGAGAAGCCAGAUGUCUUUCCUUUGGGACUCCCACAUCUGUUGGCUUUUUUAAUGACAGCAAAAUUCAUGCAAUCCCAUUUCUCUUUCCACUUUCUCUACCCACCCUCUUUUUGCUGUACCUCUGUUCUUCCCCUUUUCACACAUCUGGAUAUAGCAGCGUGAUCCCGGGUGUCGUUCUGUGGAGGACAACAACUUUUGUCCCAGGAUUCUUACGCGUUAGGAAUGAACAGAGCAUCCAGGGAAUGUGUUCAUUCAAACAGUUCCUUUCGGACAGUUUAGUUGUGUGACACCCUUUGUUUAUUUAUCUCAUUAAUUUAGAACUUCGAGGACUGGAUCUUGGUCUUUUUAUUUUUUGUUAUUUAAGACAAAUUCAUGCGCAAAAUGAGUCCAGUGACGGAACAAACCACGUUUGUGUGCGUAACAACAUGUAUGCAUGUUUGUUUUCUUGUAAAAAGUGAACCAUUGUUGCUAACGAAACGCUACAGACUGAGUGUGAGACUUGACUCCAAUGACUAAUGGUUGGUUGGUUUGGGGGAAUAGUACCCAAGCCUCAGUUUUUGAUUGUGGAACGUGGCUCACAUCUGGAUCUGCUUAGAGGAGGAAACUUUUGUGACAACAAACCCUUCAAAGAGAAAAUGUCCUUGUAACUCACCCCGAAAAGAACCCGUAGCUUGGGUACCCUUGCAUGUGUCAAAAGUCGUACUUUAUACCCUGCUGUAUGUACCACACACUACAAACGUCAAGUUCAGACUUUGUCCUUUCAUGACUGGUCUUCAGUAGCACCUUCUCUUUCUCCUUCCUCUCCUCCCCUUCUGUCCUUCUCCAGGUCCACACUCUCUAAACACAGUUUCUCACUGCUGUUUCUCUCCCUCCCCCUCUGGCCCGCUCCCUCUCAUGGACAUGACAGUGUGGGGGGAUAAGGGAAGAGUAAUUAUGGUUCAGUGAGGCUGCCAGGUGUGAUAAAUGACUAAUAAGGGCAGCGGAGCCCUGGGUCCUCGAAGGAGGACUAUUACAGUCUUAUCAGCGCAGGGCUGCAGCUCAGCGCCUGGCCUGGGACAGAGGCCCUUGUAGCUGUGCCUGCUCCGCUCCUAACCCCAUCACCUCCGUCAUCCUCCACAGCCAGCAUCACGCCAGCCCACCCCAGAGACGAGCCCCGCCGUCGACACCUUAGCUGCUGCCUCUGAAAGUACACAUUCAUUCAGUGUGAAUUUGUUUUCGUCCCAAAUAGAUUUUCGUAUGAGAACAUUUAAAAGGAGGAGACUCCAUACGUUUUUGUGCAGUUGAUGUUAAUGUAUCCUAACCACCAACAAAUAGUUAAAAAGAAGGGGAAAAAAAGAGAACCGUCAAGCGUUUCACCCAAUGUGUGUGUAUCUUUGUUAGAUAGUUGGUACAAUUUUACCAAAAUUGCUGAGAGUACUACUUAUACUAACAAUGUACUCAUCAACAUUGUUAUUGGCCUUUGAAAAGCUCAGUUUCCUUGCAGAUACAUAACACGUAGUCUACAGAACCAAUGUUACCUAUAAGUGACCUAUUUUUUUCCCUGGGUUGCAUUCAUGCAUCAAUGGCAAAUACUACGAGGAACAGCAUUAAUUUCCCCUCCCUUCGCUUAAUUAAAUCACAUCCCUAUUUAUAGUUGUUGAGAUACCUGCAACUUCCCGCAGCCCUUGAAGGGCAUUCAUAGGACAAGUCAGUAGACAACACAACCAAGUGAGGCCAUGGAACACACUAACAAUGACAAUGCCAUAUUUCCCCUGUCACUCAAAUUUUAAUCUCAUAUUAUGGUAAACAGCUAGGAGAUAUUUUGUUUUCUCUUGUACCUCCGAUACAAAUAAUCCACAUAGGUUCCCUAUGCAGAUGUUCAUGAAGGAACUAUUACUCAUGGCACACAAUGUGUACAUUCUUAGACAGCUGAAUGAUAUCACGUCUAGUUUAAAUUGCUUUGCAGCCAUUUUUAUCUGAUGCUAGUAUGGCUGUCUCUGUGCAUGACAACAGAAAGAUGGUGUAAAACAUGAUAAGGCCUCACAAAAAAGAAAUUCAUUGUGACCAGUUUUGCAGUAUGCUCAUCCACGUAUCCUCCCUCCAACCUUCACAAAAGAGGAAUUUGUAUUCUAACCAUGUACUCUUUAAUGACCGAAAAACCCAGUAGCGUUCCUUAAUUAGCCCUAAACAACCCCCCACCCUCCCAAAUCCCCCAUUGUACCGUAAACUGAGGCUCCAUAGAGGCUGUAGGCUUAAUAUAACAGUCAAAAGUUUGGACACAUUUGAAUUUUUAGAUACUGUAUGGUUCCCCAUUCCUGACUAUCUUGGUGUUAUCUACCUCGAUAAUGGGAGACGAGUCAAUGCAGCCGUAAGGUUAUUUAGUUUCAUACCAACCUAGAGCAAGUGGAUGGUGGAUUGAUGCCUGCUCGACCAUUCAAUGGAGGCCAUUAACUUGUGAACAUCAUCUACAGAGGAACAAACCAAGUGAGCUUGAUAAUCUGCUCCAGGAUAUGUGUAAAGAAAUGGAGUAAAUGGCCUUCGUAUGCAUUCGCCUUAAAGCAAGUGCCGUCAAGCGCCAACGCGUUUUGCUUUGACCGUAGGUUGGCGAGCAUUAGGUUGCUCAUAGUAUCCCCUCUGGACUGAUGUUUUCAGAAGGUUUGCAAAACAAAUGAGUUAAACAUGCACCAGAUCUUUAACCCCCCCCCCCCUCAUUCUAAAACUCACGGCUAAUUCAUAGCCCCGCUGAUUACCCAGGGGGAUUAUUUUAUCUCCCCCAUUUCAUUCCUGAAGCGCUCUACGGACAAUUUAAUGGCUGUACUUUCAUCGUCUGGCUGAUAUUUAAAUGGGGCAGUGCAUGCGUGUGGUGAGGAGAGAGGCAACGCGGCGGCCUUCUCAGAUUCUGCAUGUCAAUCUUUAAUGUAAAGAGAUAUGGGCGAGCUCUGACCCCUCACUUUGUCACCUCGCCUCUCCCUUGCAUAAAUUGACCUCCCGAUAAUCAUUUCCUGCUCCUAUCUGCUGUAACGAGUGUUCCAGAGCACUUGGCAGUCACAUGACCCAAAGAGUGCCAUUAAGGUUGAGAGAUUGACCCCUCAGCUAGGCCAUAAAGCCUCCCUCUAACAUGUGGACUACAGUAAGACUGUUAUGGCAAGUGAAUUUCACUCCACCUAUUAUGACCAUGGGUAUUGCAGAAUGACACGUGAUAGAAAGGGAAACCAUUGGUGUAAUAGAACUGCCAGAGCGAGUCAUUUGCCAUAAGUGUGUUGGUGUCUCUUUUUCCAACACACUGUCAUGCACAGAGUGAGACAUUGAGUGCGUAGUUUGAUAUAUGCCAUGGUUGCCAAAAUCAUGUCCAUAUUAUUUGUUUUUAUUACAUUUCUAAGGUAUUCUUCAGUACGUUGGCUUGAAAUUGACCUCUGAUGGUGAUGCAUUUUAAGCAUUGGAUGCUUACCUGGUUUAGCACCAGUUCGAUGAGGCCAUGUUCCUUUAUUUAUUUAUCCGUCCCAAGCACCACUCCUGCAGCCGUGAUCCUUUAAUUUCAUUUGAUUUGUCACCUUCUUUCAUAAGCCGUACAACAAUUUACUACUCAUCUGAUUUGUGAAAAAUAAGGAUAAGAAGAAAAAAACCUCUGAAUUUGUCCAGCUAAUUAGCCACAGAUGCAAAUUUAGCCUCAUUAGAUUAAUUAAUCUUUUCAAGAGUAAUGGUCACACACCGGUGGUCUUUAAAUGAACAUUCAAUGUUAAUCUUCUCGUUUUAAGAGAUAAAUAAUCAGAUAAAAAUAUUGAAACACAUGGAUUUAUCUUGGGAGUGCUUAAAAGGAAAGGAGUUCAGCUUAUAGCACCCAGCGGCAUGUUUAUUUGUCAGACUGUGUCGUACUAACUUCAUUUAAGUAUCGAUUUAGAAGUUGGUGCUUUUAUAUUUAUGUUUUGGUUCAUACAGUAGUAUUUCUUCAUUGAAUGAAGAAAGGUACGUUAAAGCAAAGCAAACUGAAUUCACGUAUUGCAACCAUGACUGGUUCAUUUUCAUAUAAAUUAACCAUUAUCGUUAUUCAUUUAAUUCCUGUAGAAACAUUUAGUGUGUAAAGUGAAGAAAUGUAUACUUUGAUUACAGGAUUUUGAUUUUAUAACCAUUAUUUGAUUGAUUAUCACAUUUUUGAGUGACCCAGGUCCUGUCCUAGAGGUUUAUAUGGUCAUGUUUAUGUUGUAGUUGGAACAGACUAUAACCACCAAAUGCUUCCAUCUUUACGUUAACCUGGAUUAAAAUGUCCAAGGACAUAGAAACAACAACGUGGGAUCUUUUCCUCUGUAAAACGUUUUGUACAUUGCCAAAGGACACGUCUUGUGCCCUUGGUAGUUGGCGGUGUACUGGACCGAAAAAGUCAUUUGUUUUGUUUAUUUUGUAAGGAAAUGCAGUUUUGUGCUUAUGUAAGUGAGUUUUUAGACAAAUAUGUCCCCCAACCUGGCCUUCUCACAGGAAUACCACAGCUGUGCUGUUAAAAAAUAGAUGGUUGGAAUAAUCACUAAGCAAGAAUAAUGUGUAGAGGCACAGCUCCAAAUCUUUUUAAGCAACAGUGUUUGUUCUGAGGAAGAGAGACAAACACAUCCAUAGAUUUAGUUAAAAAAACGUUUUUUUUCAAAUUUAGUUUCAAAUAAUGUGAUGAGCGUUUCCUGUUGUGAUCAAGUAUCCAUGUGUUUCAGGAGGAAUGAAGCUUGUUGUUUGCAUGUAUAUCUAUAUCAUCAAAGACAACGCUCCACAGGUGUAAGAAGACAGAAAAAGAAAUGCGCAUGUAUCCAAGUACAAAACCUUCAAGAAAAGUUAGUUUUUUAGUGAAAGCAGUGACAGAUAUUCUUACCACUUGAAGCCAGCCAUACUGAACUGACUCUAUUUGCCCUGUUCAGACCUGGCAAUAAUAACAUAAGCAUGUUUGCUGUACUGCAAUACACAACUUAGAAGAGAGACCUCCAAUUAAUUGUCUUACAGUAGAGAAAUUAAUGAGUUACUUUUAAUUUGCAAAACCGAACCAAAUGUUUUCUUUGUGCUUUUUUUUUAACUUAAUUUGUAUUGUGGUUUUAUUCAUGUCACGUAUAUGUAUUUAAUGGCUGUUUUCAACGACGUGUGCUGCUGCCUUCUUGGCCAGGUCGCCCUUGGAAAUGAGAUCUCGAUCUCAAUAGGACUUUUACCUGGUUAAAUAAAUAAAUAAAAUAAAAAUGUGAUACGAGGUUACUUUCUGUAACGUCAAGUUCGAGUGCAAGGUAGAAUAUUGGCAAAACCACUGGCAUGGCCCCUUUUUGAAGAGACAAACCUCGAGAUGCUAAUCAGUACUGACGGGAUUUUCGCGUCAGAGUCCGGAGCAUUAAACUGUUGAUUCUGCCAGAGCUCUCUGCGUUAUCUCCUUCUCCCUGGUGGGAGGAGACAUGCUCCAUGGGAAGGGCUAUCAUCACGGGCUGGUGUGAAAUCAGAUUCUCCUAUCAAAGCCCCUGACCUCACUGUUAUACGAUAUAAAGUGAAAGUUAACCGGGAUCAGUGCCUGGGGACAGUGUCUGCCUUUGUCGAGGGAAUAUGAUGUUUCACCGCGUUCCAAGACUUCUCUCCUAUCGGACCUGUGCAUGUGUGAACGUGCACGAAACACACACACGUAAAAGUUGCACCAGCCUGGAAAGUAGAUUUUUCAGUUUUUGCAGAAUACACGCA
ensembl:lncRNA